ACGAAACGCUGGCGGCAGUGGCCUAACACAUGCAAGGGUCGAACGAGGUCCACCACACAGUAGCAAUACUGGGGAAGACCUAGUGGCGAACGGGCUGGAGUAACACGUGAGGAACCUGCCCCGAAGACCGGGAUAACGCUCCGAAAGGAACGCUAAUACCGGAUGCCCUUCACCAAGCCGCAUGACCUGGUGAAGAAAUGGGAUUCCGCCUUCGGGAGAGGGUCUCGCGGCCUAUCAGCUUGUUGGUGGGGUAACGGCCCACCAAGGCUUCGACGGGUAGCUGGUCUGAGAGGACGAUCAGCCACACUGGGACUGAGACACGGCCCAGACUCCUACGGGGAGGCAGCAGUGGGGAAUCUUGCGCAAUGGGCGAAAGCCUGACGCAGCAACGCCGCGUGGGGGAUGAAGGCUCUCGGGUUGUAAACCCCUUUCAGCAGGGACGAUCGUGACGGUACCUGCAGAAGAAGGCCCGGGCCAACUACGCGCCAGCAAGCCGCGGGUAACUAACGUAGGGGCGAAGCGUUGUCCGGAUUUAUUGGGCGUAAAGAGCUCGUAGGCGGUUCGGUAAGUCGGGACGUGAAACCUCCACGGCUCAACCUGGGGACGCCACCCGAUACUGUCUGUGCUCGAGUCCGGUAGGGGAGCGUGGAAUCCUCGGUGUAGCGGUGAAAUGCGCAGAAUCAGGAGGAGGAACACCAGCGUGCGAAGGGCGGCGCUCUGGGCCGGUAACUGACGCUGAGGAGCGAAAGCGUGGGUAGCAAACAGGAUUUAGAUACCCUGGUAGUCCACGCCGUAAACGUUGGGCACUAGGUGUGGGACUCUCGACGGGUUCCGUGCCGUAGCUAACGCAUUAAGUGCCCCGCCUGGGAGUACGGCCGCAAGGCUAAAACUCAAAAGGAAUUGAACAUGGGUGGGCCCGCACAAGCGGGCGGAGCAUGUGGCUUAAUUCGAUGCAACGCGAAGAACCUUACCUGGGCUGAACUGAUGCCAGGAAAAGCCGUAGAGAUACGGUGUCCUUCGGGGUCUGCGAUAGGUGGUGCAUGGCUGUCCGUCAGCUCGUGUCGGUAGAGUGUUGGGUUAAGUCCGCUAACGAGCGAACCCCUGCUCCUUGUUGCCAGCGUAGUUACUGUCGGGCACUGCGAGGAGGACUGCCGGCGAGAAGCGGAGGAAGGAGGGGAUGAACGAUCAAGUCCAUCAUGGCCCUUACAUCCCGGGCUGCACUACGCGCUGACAAUGGCCGUUACAAUCCGCUGCAAACCCGCAAGGGUGAGCAGAAUCGGGAAAAUCGGCGGUCUCAGUUCGGAUCGAGGUCUGCAACUCGACCUCGUGAAGUUGUGAAGUCGCUAGUAACGCAGAUCAGCAUGCUGCGGUGAAUACGUCCCGGGCCUUGUACAGCACCGUCCCGUCACGUCCUGAAAGUGGGCAACACCUGAAGCCGGUGGCCAACCCGCAGGGAGGAGCCGUCGAGUGUGGGGUUCGCGAUCGUGACG
rnacentral:rRNA from 1 species